AGCAGCCGCGGUAAUUCCAGCUCCAAUAGCGUAUAUUAAAGUUGUUGCAGUUAAAAAGCUCGUAGUUGAAUUUCGGGGUCAAUACGUCGGUCGUGCCUUCGGUACGUACUGGUGUUAUUGAUCUCUCCCUUCUGAUGAAUCAUGAUGUCAUUAAUUUGGUGUCAUGGGGAGUCAGGACUGUUACUUUGAAAAAUUAGAGUGUUUAAAGCAGGCUCACGCUUGAAUACAUUAGCAUGGAAUAAUGAAAUAGGACGUUCGAUCCUAUUUUGUUGGUUUCUAGGAUCAACGUAAUGAUUAAUAGGGAUAGUUGGGGGCAUUAGUAUUCAAUUGUCAGAGGUGAAAUUCUUGGAUUUAUUGAAGACUAACUACUGCGAAAGCAUUUGCCAAGGAUGUUUUCAUUAAUCAAGAACGAAAGUUAGGGGAUCGAAGACGAUCAGAUACCGUCGUAGU
rnacentral:rRNA from 1 species